UACGUAGGGGGCCAGCGUUGUCCGGAAUCAUUGGGCGUAAAGCGCGCGUAGGCGGCCAGAUAAGUCCGGUGUGAAAGUCACAGGCUCAACCUGUGAAUGCCGCUGGAAACUGUCUGGCUAGAGUCCGGAAGGGGCGAGUGGAAUUCCUGGUGUAGCGGUGAAAUGCGCAGAUAUCAGGAGGAACACCAAUGGCGAAGGCAGCUCGCUGGGACGGUACUGACGCUGAGGCGCGAAAGCGUGGGGAGCGAACAGG
rnacentral:rRNA from 1 species